CAAUAGGUGUACUGUUGCCAUGGAGAUAAGCAGAGGAUGCGGAGGAAAGGCAGAUAGUGAUCGCUCUACCAGCUCUUACCUCUUGGUGUUCAAUUCUCCCUGUGUCCCUUCUCUGACAUCGAGUCACAUCCCUCUCGGUAGCAUGGUGCUGCGGGUGACAGUCAUGGUGGUAGCACUGUGCCCAGUUCAAAUAAGGGAGAUGUCAACAUAGUCUGGCCAAGUGACCAAAACUUGACCCGGAGGCACAGUGAUGUCAACAACUCAGGAGGCCUGACAGCUUAGUGGAUAACAUCCACUUCUCCCUCAGUGUCUAGUCACUGAGUGAAGCCUUGGGAGCCACCACAGCAGACAUGCACAGACGAGAAGAAAACAAGUCAUGCCUUAGCUUUGUUAUGACAACUCUUCUGACUUCAUCCCUUCAAAUGGCUGCAGAGAGGGAAUUUAAACAACAAAGUUAAGGAAGAGGUCAUAAAAUGUGUUACUUGCAGUUUGAUGCUAUUGAUUGCUACACUACAAUAGCUACUAGCUUGCCUGCAAUGCUCCAAAACUCCAAGGGGAAGAAAGGAUUCUCUUAAGAUCCAUGCAACUGGGAAC
rnacentral:lncRNA from 1 species